rnacentral:rRNA from 1 species
UGGGGAAUAUUGGACAAUGGGCGAAAGCCUGAUCCAGCAAUGCCGCGUGAGUGAUGAAGGCCUUAGGGUUGUAAAGCUCUUUUACCAGGGAUGAUAAUGACAGUACCUGGAGAAUAAGCUCCGGCUAACUCCGUGCCAGCAGCCGCGGUAAUACGGAGGGAGCUAGCGUUGUUCGGAAUUACUGGGCGUAAAGCGCACGUAGGCGGCCAUUCAAGUCAGAGGUGAAAGCCCGGGGCUCAACCCCGGAACUGCCUUUGAAACUAGAUGGCUUGAAUCUUGGAGAGGCGAGUGGAAUUCCGAGUGUAGAGGUGAAAUUCGUAGAUAUUCGGAAGAACACCAGUGGCGAAGGCGACUCGCUGGACAAGUAUUGACGCUGAGGUGCGAAAGCGUGGGGAGCAAAACAGGAUUAGAUACCCUGGUAGUCCACGCCGUAAACGAUGAUAACUAGCUGUCCGGGUUCAUGGAACUUGGGUGGCGCAGCUAACGCAUUAAGUUAUCCGCCUGGGGAGUACGGUCGCAAGAUUAAAGCUCAAAGGAAUUGAC